rnacentral:lncRNA from 1 species
CGCACAUCCAUAAUAUUAUCUAUCAUCCCUAUUCUUAUUAGACUAGUACUAUAGUACUAUAUACUCAACGGGGUAUAAUUUAAUAUAAAAAAAUAUUAAUUUAUAAAUUAGAAGUUUUAUGUUUGAAUUUUCAUGACAUCUUAAUUAUAAUUUAUGACAUCUUAAUUAUAAUUUAUGACAUCUUAAUUAUAAUUUAUGACAUCUUAAUUAUAAUUUAUGCUUAUGAGAAAGUCCAUUUCCGUCUAGUUUAUACUAUUGCAUAUACUUAAAAAAACAAAGACCUAUAGC